UUAAUACUCCCUCCGUCCCAAAAUUCUUGUCUUAGAUUUGUCUAGAUCCGUAUCUAGACGAAUAUAAGACAAGAAUUUUGGAACGGAGGGAGUAAGAG
rnacentral:pre_miRNA from 1 species